UGGGGAAUUUUGGACAAUGGGGGAAACCCUGAUCUAGCCAUCCCGCGUGUGCGAUGAAGGCCUUCGGGUUGUAAAGCACUUUUGGCAGGAAAGAAACGUCAUGGGUUAAUACCCCGUGAAACUGACGGUACCUGCAGAAUAAGCACCGGCUAACUACGUGCCAGCAGCCGCGGUAAUACGUAGGGUGCAAGCGUUAAUCGGAAUUACUGGGCGUAAAGCGUGCGCAGGCGGUUCGGAAAGAAAGAUGUGAAAUCCCAGGGCUCAACUUUGGAACUGCAUUUUUAACUACCGGGCUAGAGUGUGUCAGAGGGAGGUGGAAUUGCGCGUGUAGCAGUGAAAUGCGUAGAUAUGCGGAGGAACACCGAGGGCGAAGGCAGCCUCCUGGGAUAACACUGACGCUCAUGCACGAAAGCGUGGGGAGCAAACAGG
rnacentral:rRNA from 1 species